rnacentral:rRNA from 1 species
ACGGGUGAGUAACACGUGACUAACCUACCCUGGAGUGGGGGAUAACUGAGGGAAACCUUAGCUAAUACCGCAUAAUACCUACGGGUCAAAGGAGCAAUUCGCUUUAGGAGGGGGUCGCGGUCGAUUAGUUAGUUGGCGGGGUAAUGGCCCACCAAGACAGUGAUCGAUAUCCGGCCUGAGAGGGCGCACGGACACACUGGAACUGAAACACGGUCCAGACUCCUACGGGAGGCAGCAGUGGGGAAUUUUGCGCAAUGGGGGAAACCCUGACGCAGCAACGCCGCGUGGAGGAUGAAGUACUUCGGUACGUAAACUCCUUUCGAUCGGGACGAUAAUGACGGUACCGGAAGAAGAAGCCCCGGCUAACUUCGUGCCAGCAGCCGCGG